ensembl:lncRNA
CAUGCGGUCUAUUGUGACAAAGCAUUCAACCCUCAGGAGAGAAAAGCAAGCAGAUAAAAAUACGGUGACGCUCAAUUACAAGGAAUGCACGUGGCCAUCUUUCUCGCUGACACAACCAAAGUGCUUCUCCCGGGAUCUUAUACAGAGAGAAUCACAGCUGACUUGAACCCUGCAGUCCUGUCCGCGCAUCAUACACUUUGCAACAGGGCCGGAGCCCUGAGGACCCCAUCUGUGUUGGUUUUAGUAUCGAGAUGAUGAGAGAGAUUCGUCAGGGUACGGCCUCCACUUCUUCCGCAGCUGGUGCAUAACUGAUCACCUCUGUGCCGCAGCCAAGAGUGGCAGGCAAAUGUUGCAUCUGAUGAUUCUUCCCACAGACAUAUGGGAGAAGAGAUGCCAAGAAAGAUUGUCACAAUUUUGUUCACUUGGUGGAUUCUUUACCAGCUGAGCUACAAGGAAGACCCUCUUUCAAAACAAAUAUCCACGGUGAUGGGAAGAAAAGUCCAUUUUUUCAAAGGAACAUUUACACAUUUGCUUUUUCAUCCUAGUCACGCUAUACCACAGAAUAUGAAGUAGUACAUAAUUAAUAAACUUAAAAAAAAUUCAGAAAACUAAAUUCAAACAUUCCUAAGUGUUGCAUUAAAAAAUAAAAGUCAAUGUGCC